UGAAUCAAAUAUUAAUUUUUUUUGAGAAUAUUCCCCGUCUCUCAUUCACUUUCCUCUUCUCGCUCUCAGACUUCUCCCAUCUCUCCAUCACCGUGACCUAAAAUCCGCUGGCCGUCUCAUCCCUCAAUUUUGUUCUGUCUUUACUACAACAGUACCAGGAUCUUCCGAGCCAAUCGCUCAGAUCCUCUCUCAUCCCUUCGCUCUCUAUCACUCUCCACAACCAAAAACCCUAGAGACCUAUUCAACCAACAAGCCAAAUUCAUGCCCCGCACCAACCAGACUACCUCGAUUUGUCGUCCAAUAGUUCUCCUUUUGUUCAAUUAUGAUUUUUGUGCUGGAUUCAAAGGAUAAUUGCCCCCAAAAUUGAGCAAACCAGUAGCCUUCCUCCUCCACAUCCGUCUUCCUCUCUCUGUCAUGCUCCAUAAACAACCCAAUUCCACGCCAUAAGUCCCACACCAACGAGACUGCCUUUGUGUCCACGAAUCGUUGAAGGGAUUUUGCUUAUUUGAGGAUGUUUUCAAGCAAAAUUUAUAUAAUCGUAAGAAACAAAAGUAUUACCACAAGGAGGGGCAAACCAUUUCAUCCAGCAUGCAAGGAAGGCUCACAAGGUAAUGAAAUUAAAGUACAUAUAAAACUCAUUGUGUAAUUUAGGUAGGCAUGUUAUUGAUAUGGGUUUGAGAUGGGUGGUGGGUAAUGGUAAGGAGAUUCUCUUAUGGACUCAUUGUUGGGUUUUUUCUUACCCGUUGUUCCAUCUUAUACCAGAAACACAAAAGCAGAAUAUCAAUUGUAAUUUAUGGGUAAGUGACUUUUUGAAUAAAUUAUUAAGUAUUCUGGAUGCUGAUAUUGUCAAGAAAAUUUGUCUUGUGAUCAUUCUUCUGGAGAGUUCUCUAUUAAAUCAGCGGGAUUCAAAGGAAUAGUAACCAAACUGUCAACUGGAAAAAAUUGCUCAAGCAAAUGUGGAAGCUAACGAUUCUGCCAAAGUUAAAAUCUUUGCUUAGAUUUUGAUCAAUGGUAAAUUGAAUACAAAAGACAGACUUGGCAGGUUUAUUCGUACUUUAGAUAAGUCUUGCCCUAUUUGUGGUACGGAGGAGGAAAAUCAAACGCACCUGUUUCUUAAUUGUGAGUUUGCAAAAAAACGUGUAGACGUUGUCCUCUUUAUGUCCUUGGUCGAAUAAUUCAAUCCAUUGGAAUAAUGCUAUUGGGCGGCUUAAUUUUCUCUACAGCUCUACAAAAAAGGGUUAUUGGAACUUAAUAAACCCCUUUUACAUUGCUGGCAAAUCUGGAAUGAAAGGAAUAAUACGGUGUUUCGCAGUGUGGCCUUAUUCCUGCCAAGAUGUGUGUCCGUUGCUGCCAAGUUAGGACUGGAUUACUUUUAAUCAAAUGCCAAGAUUGUGGAGUCAAAUUUGUUGUUGCAUCAAGGCCUUAUUCGCUAGAGGUCCCCUGAUUAGGGUUGGUUAAAAUUAAAUUUUGAUGGGUCGGAGACUCAAGGAAAGGCUGGAGUGGGUUUUGUGGUGUGAAAUGACUAGGGAUUGACGGUGGGAGCUGGGGCCUGCAAUUUGGAUGGGGCCACUAUCUCGGUUGCGGAGGCUGUGGCCCUUUAGGAGGGCCUCUUAUUCACAAGACGGAAAGACAUCAAGAGGCUGGAGGUUGAAGGUGACUCCCUGUUAAUAUAAAUCUAGUGACUGGGAUAUGGAAACCCUAUUGGCAUCUCCUUUCUACUAUCGAAGACAUUAAAUGGCUGGCUACUAGUUUUCACUCUAUUCGUUGGAGGCAUAUAUUUAGGGAAGCCAACUUUGUGGCUAAUAAGAUGGCUGAUGUGGGGGUGGCGGUUUCGAACCCUCACUUUUGGGACCAUUGUCUCCUUACUUCAGUUUUAGUAGCUUUUAACUUUGACUGUAUCGGUACUGGUUGGUCUGGAAGUUUCCCUAUUUAAUAAAUUUAUUUCUCAUAAAAAA
rnacentral:sRNA from 1 species